rnacentral:rRNA from 1 species
UAGGGAAGUUUUCGUUCAAUGGGCGCAAGCCUGAACGAGCAAUGCCGCGUGAGUGAGGAAGGUCUUCGGAUCGUAAAGCUCUGUUGCAGGUCAGAAAAGAAGGGAAGAGGAAAUGCUUUUCUUUUGAUAGUAACCUGCCAGAAAGUCACGGCUAACUACGUGCC